GAGGGUAUAGCUUAAUGGUAGAGUGCAUGCUUAGCACGCACAAGGUCCUGGGUUCAAGCCCCAGUACCUCCA
rnacentral:tRNA from 1 species